AUACAUGUGGAAGCCUGGCUGUAUUUCCCAGGCUUAAAGAGUUCCAAGAUUGUAGAAGAUUGAUCUCCAGAGAGUCAUCGACGGAGAGAGCGGUUAAAUCAAGUGCACAGUAUUGAGAUAAACGGACGGCUGAUGUGGGGAGGCAAAAGGUCAAAUGGAUUUCAAGGGAAAAAAAAUAAGGGAAUAUACAGAAUUGGCCCAUUCAUCAACCGGCCAGCCAGCAGCGGUUAUUACGAUCUAUAAAAAGGGGGACCCGUCAAAUAAAUUGGUUUGGAAUUCCUCCAA